rnacentral:misc_RNA from 1 species
UGGGGGACUUGGGGUGACGGG